AAUGCUGAUCGGAUCAUCGCGCCUGUUUUUGCAGGUGAGGAAAGUCCGAACUCCAUAGGGCAUCAUGCUUCCUAACGGGAAGGCGCCGUGCAAGCGGUGACGGCACGUGCAACAGAAAGUAAACCAGCCUAAGGGUUUUCGAACCCCGGUGAUGGGUGAAAUGGUGAGGUAAGAGCUCACCAGCGA
rnacentral:RNase_P_RNA from 1 species